rnacentral:tRNA from 1 species
GGGCCGUUAGCUCAAUUGGUAGAGCAUCUGCCUCUUAAGCAGAGGGUCGCAGGUCCGACUCCUGCACGGCCCA